AAGUCGUAACAAGGUUUCCGUAGGUGAACUUGCGGAAGGAUCAUUAACACGUAUCCAACGUUAAAACCCCCGUGAACCUACAGCCCUAUUCUUGUGCGCCCGUUCGGACAGCAAUCCCUAGUAAAUCAUUGUCGAACGUGUUUAGGAGUCACCUCGUUGACAGGUUACCGUCACUGACACACGGUAACGUUAUCGUCACUUCCACACGAUAACCGUCUCAAAGGCACCAGGAUGCUUGCGCUACCACUCAAUUGCACGCAAACCGCAGUCCUUCCGUACAGAGGUCCCUAAAUCAAACUCGCGGGAUCCAGGCCGCAAGGUCCCUAACCACCCCUCGCAAGAAUUUAGCGUGCACCUAACGGUCGUACGCACCCCCAAACUGAACAACUGUUAACAAUGGAUAUCUUGGUUCUC
rnacentral:misc_RNA from 1 species